rnacentral:rRNA from 1 species
UACGUAGGUCCCGAGCGUUGUCCGGAUUUAUUGGGCGUAAAGCGAACGCAGGUGGUUUAUUAAGUCUGGUGUAAAAGGCAGUGGCUCAACCAUUGUAUGCAUUGGAAACUGGUAGACUUGAGUGCAGGAGAGGAGAGUGGAAUUCCAUGUGUAGCGGUGAAAUACGUAGAUAUAUGGAGGAACACCGGUGGCGAAAGCGGCUCUCUGGCCUGUAACUGACACUGAGGCUCGAAAGCGUGGGGAGCAAACAGG